rnacentral:rRNA from 1 species
UACGAAGGGGGCUAGCGUUGCUCGGAAUGACUGGGCGUAAAGGGCGCGUAGGCGGAUGGCACAGUCAGAUGUGAAAUUCCCGGGCUUAGCCUGGGGGCUGCAUUUGAUACGUGUUGUCUUGAGUUCGGAAGAGGGUCGUGGAAUUCCCAGUGUAGAGGUGAAAUUCGUAGAUAUUGGGAAGAACACCGGUGGCGAAGGCGGCGACCUGGUCCGACACUGACGCUGAGGCGCGAAAGCGUGGGGAGCAAACAGG